ACAGAGGAACUUUUUGCGUCGAACCCGGAAACGUCCGAGGGACCUAUUAUAGUGUUGCAUAAACAGACCAGCCUGGUCGUCGGAAAGAUGUCUGACCAGAAACCAACGGUGGAUCCUGAAGUUCCCUUUGCCAAGAGAAUAGAUCCAAACAAGGAGGAUCUUACCAGGGACGAGUUCUACUUUAUCAGACAAGUGGAGCUUGCGCAAUGGAAGAAGAAAUCGCAGCAGCUGAGGGGCCGUAAUAUUGCAACAGGACUUGGUAUCGGAGCCAUUGUAAUGGGAAUUUAUGCCUACACGUUUUACUCAGUGAAACAGGAGAAGAUCAUGGAUGAGCUGGAUGAGGAGGCCAAGAUGAGAGGGGCAAAGACAGGCACCAACUGACAUGGCAAUCAGAACUUAGCUCAGAUGGACUGUGUGGUGUGCCACGUAUCCUAUCUACUGCACUGGAAGGGACGAAAAGACUAAUGCUGACGCUACACCUUAUUCCACUGCUAGCCAUUGUCAACUUUCAAAGAGGCAGCAUCGGACAUGUUUUGCCCAGGAUCUGUAGGUUAUGUAAAAUUGCUGCUGAGUUAAGCGUUUUCAUUGUGAUUAAACAUGCUUGUCAAUAGGAGGAAAGAUCUACUGCUCCCGAUUGCCCUACCAAUUCAGGAUACCUGGGUGGUGUUUACUAAAUGGAAGAAAAUGGACUACUUGUAGUUGUUGUAGACUUUUGUAAGAAACGGUCACUUAAAAAAAAAACAUGAACAGGACCCUAUUCUUCCUUUUCUCCCAAUAAGUAGUCAGUCACUUGUAUAGAAUUAUUGGUACUGCCCCAUUCAGCGCCAUAUGUCUCCCAAAACUGUCUAUAGAACUAAUUCAACCUCCAAUCAAUAAUGUUAAUUCUACAGUGGCCUUGAAAUGUGUGGGAUUUGAAUUGGAACUACUGAACUGAGACAAAGAAACACAAUCAGAUUGAAAUAUAUUUAUGUUGAUAAAGGACGGAGUUGUAAAAA